rnacentral:rRNA from 1 species
GACGAACGCUGGCGGCGUGCCUAAUACAUGCAAGUAGGACGCACAGUUUAUACCGUAGCUUGCUACACCAUAGACUGUGAGUUGCGAACGGGUGAGUAACGCGUAGGUAACCUGCCUAUUAGAGGGGGAUAACUAUUGGAAACGAUAGCUAAUACCGCAUAACAGUAUGUAACACAUGUUAGAUGCUUGAAAGAUGCAAUUGCAUCGCUAGUAGAUGGACCUGCGUUGUAUUAGCUAGUAGGUAGGGUAAUGGCCUACCUAGGCGACGAUACAUAGCCGACCUGAGAGGGUGAUCGGCCACACUGGGACUGAGGCACGGCCCAGACUCCUACGGGAGGCAGCAGUAGGGAAUCUUCGGCAAUGGGGGGAACCCUGACCGAGCAACGCCGCGUGAGUGAAGAAGGUUUUCGGAUCGUAAAGCUCUGUUGUUAAGGAAGAACGAGUGUGAAAAUGGAAAGUUCAUACUGUGACGGUACUUAACCAGAAAGGGACGGCUAACUACGUGCCAGCAGCCGCGGUAAUACGUAGGUCCCGAGCGUUGUCCGGAUUUAUUGGGCGUAAAGCGAGCGCAGGCGGUUAGAAAAGUCUGAAGUGAAAGGCAGUGGCUCAACCAUUGUAGGCUUUGGAAACUGUUUAACUUGAGUGCAGAAGGGGAGAGUGGAAUUCCAUGUGUAGCGGUGAAAUGCGUAGAUAUAUGGAGGAACACCGGUGGCGAAAGCGGCUCUCUGGUCUGUAACUGACGCUGAGGCUCGAAAGCGUGGGGAGCGAACAGG